GAUGAACGCUGGCGGCGUGCCUAACACAUGCAAGUCGAGCGAGAAUUAACGGACUAGAGACUUCGGUCAAAGGAAAGUUGAGGAAAGCGGCGGACGGGUGAGUAACGCGUGGGCAACCUGCCCCAUACUAAGGGAUAGCCACUGGAAACGGUGAUUAAUACCCUAUAAAGCUGUAGGAUCGCAUGAUCUAAUAGCCAAAGAUUAUAUCGGUAUGGGAUGGGCCCGCGUCUGAUUAGCUAGUUGGUGAGGUAAUGGCUCACCAAGGCUUCGAUCAGUAGCCGACCUGAGAGGGUGAUCGGCCACACUGGAACUGAGACACGGUCCAGACUCCUACGGGAGGCAG
rnacentral:rRNA from 1 species